CUUUGGUGUGCCUCAGAGGCCCUCAAAGGCAGGAUCAGGAAUUUCUGGAUUGUAUGGAUUUCCAACAGUUCCUAUGAGGUUGCCUGAUUAGCUGCUGCCUCACUGAACCUUCCUCUGUGUACGUUGCUGCCAGUUUUUCUACCUAAGUCCGAUCCAUUUCCUGGAUUGAUCUUGAUACUUCAUCCAUGAAAAUACGUUUUCUUUCUGUAACAGAGAAAGAGAGACAACCAACUGGACAAGAGAGCUCACUCUGAUGAUCUACUUCCCAAAUGCCCACAACAGCUGGGAUUGAGCCUGGGUGAAGCCAGGAGUUUGGAAUACAAUCAAGGUUUUCAAUUUGGAUGUCCUUGUUACAGAUCUCUACGAUGAGAAUUACAAAAUCUUAAAGAAAGAAAUAGAAGAGGAUACCAAAAAAUGGAAAAAUCUUCCAUGCUCAUGGAUUGGAAGAAUCAACAUCAUCAAAAUGUCCAUUCUCCCAAAAGCAAUGUAUAGAUUCAAUGCAAUCCCAAUCAAGAUACCAAAGACAUUCUUCGCAGAUCUAGAAAAAAUGAUGCUGAAAUUCAUAUGGAGGCACAAGAGACCUCGAAUAGCUAAAGCAAUCUUGUACAACAAAAACAAAGCCGGAGGCAUCACAAUACCAGAUGUUAGGACAUACUACAGGGCAGUUGUAAUCAAAACAGCAUGGUACUGGUACAGAAACAGAUGGAUAGACCAAUGGAACAGAAUUGAAACACCAGAAAUCAACCCAAACAUCUAUAGCCAACUUAUAUUUGACCAAGUAUCUAAAACCAAUUCCUGGAGCAAGGACAGUCUAUUCAAUAAAUGGUGCUGGUAAAAAUGGAUUUCCACAUGCAGAAGCAUGAAGCAAGACCCCUACCUUACACCUUACACAAAAAUCCACUCAACGUGGAUUAAAGACCUAAAUCUACGUCCUGACACCAUCAAGUUAUUAGAGAACAUUGGAGAAACCCUUCAAGAUAUUGGCACAGGCAAAGAAUUUCUGGAAAAGACCCGGGAGGCACAGGCAGUCAAAGCCAAAAUCAACUAUUGGGAUUGCAUCAAAUUGAGAAGAUUCUGUACUGCAAAAGAAACAGUCAGGAGAGUGAAGAGACAACCGACAGAACGGGAAAAAAUAUUUGCAAACUAUGCAACAGAUAAAGGGUUAAUAACCAGAAUCUACAAAGAGAUCAAGAAACUCCACAAAAACAAAACCAACAACCCACUUAAGAGAUGGGCCAAGGACCUCAAUAGACAUUUUUCAAAAGAGGGAAUCCAAAUGGCCAACAGGCACAUGAAAAAAUGUUCAAGUUCACUAGCAAUCAGGGAAAUGCAAAUCAAAACCACGAUGAAGUUUCACCUCACCUCAGUUAGAGUGGCUCACAUACAGAAAUCUACCAACAACAGAUGCUGGCGAGGAUGUGGGGAAAAAGGGACACUAACCCACUGUUGGUGGGAAUGCAAACUGGUCAAGCCACUAUGGAAGUCAGUCUGGAGAUUCCUCAGAAACCUGAAGAUAACCCUACCGUUUGAUCCAGCCAUCCCACUCCUUGGAUUUUAAUCAAAGGAGUUCAAAUUGACAAACAAAAAAGCGGUCUGCACCCUAAUGUUUAUUGCAGCACAAUUCACAAUAGCCAAGACCUGGAACCAACCUAAAUGCCCAUCAACGGUAGACUGGACAAAGAAAUUAUGGGAUAUGUAUUCUUUAGAGUACUAUACUGCAGUAAGA